CUUGCUCAAGUGUUGCAAGUUAUUGUUUGUUAUUUGUUUCAUAUUUAAGAGUUUUAUGGCUUUUACAUCUGAAAGAUGCAUGAUUUGCUUCUAAAUGUUGUAGUUCAUGGAGCUUUGAGGUGCUGGGCUCUUCUCUCUGAUGACUUGGACGAUAAAGUGAUGCCCACAUUAGUACCUGUUUUGUUCCCAUGCUUGCUUACUAUUGUUUCAUCCACUCAGGUUUGUUUGUGUUAUAUUUUGGUUCCCAUUUUGGCAGCUCUUUAGAAUCCUAUAUUGAGUGUAUUUUGAUGUUUUUUAAUUUUAAUUUUAUUUUAUUUUUUAAGGGGUGUUAUUUAAGGAAAUCUGAAAUAAGCAUAAAUAGUCAAUUAUGCUUUUGAGUUCACAUUAGUAUUUGCACAUGUGCAUAACAAUGUUAAUUUUGAGUCAUUUGCUUUAUUGAACAAAUGAGUGAGGUAAAGAGGCCAAAUGAAUGAGAAUUUUAUGUCAAAACUUCGCGAGGAAUUUGAUGGUUCAAGUAAAAGUUUAAAUUGCUUACCAAAUGACUAAAUCGUACUUGCAUUUUUGUCUGUUUGCAAUCUCUGGGCAUCUUAUUUAUUUAUUUAGCUAAAGGUGGGUAAUAUGCAUAGUGAUUAGUAGUCCUUAAGGAAGGGACUUCUAUAUUACAGGAGAGAGCUAUGCAGGACAUUAUGUUCCUCAGCUGAGCCAGGCAAUUGUAAAACACAACUCUGCAACAAAGGGAAAAGCCAUUAAUCUGAAGGGUUAUAUGGUGGGAAAUGCUUUAACUGACGAUCACCAUGAUCACUUAGGGCUUUUCCAAUUCAUGUGGUCAGCUGGCUUGAUAUCUGACGAGACAUACAAAUUACUAAACCUUCUAUGUGUUUCUCAGCCAUUUAUACACUCCUCGAGUUCAUGUGAUAAGGUUCUCGAAAUUGCUUCUGAAGAACUUGGCGACAUUGAUCCAUAUAGCAUCUACACUCCCGCCUGCCAUGCUAAUGGUAGCCAAACAAAUCAAUUGCGGAAAAGAAAGCACGUGAGUAUGCUAUUUGAAAUCACUUAUCUUAUUUAAGGAGUAAACAAAUAAUUAAUUUUGUUAAUUAUUCUCUAUAACAUAUUUUUAUUAUC